GUGAUGGUGGUGGAAUCUUGAAAAUGAGUGAGAAGAAAAGAAAGCUGCAGCAUUUGUGUGUGCCUUGAGCUUGGACAGUGAUAAGUGAUGGUGAUGGAAUCUUGAAAAUGAGUGAGAAGGAAAAAAGAUGCAGCAUUUAUGGGUGCCAAGUAUUAAAGCAUACUGGUGUGUGUUUUGAUGUGUAUAGUAGAAGAUUGGUAAACGAGGGGUGAGGGCAGGUAAGUGACUGGAUGUUGAGAGUUUAUUUAGCGAGGUAAAGAUAGGGAUUUGACAUGAUCGUUAAGUUGGAGCUAACUAGCGUGGGAAAGGUUGAUUUUUGCAGAGACGUGACCGGCAUAGAGGUAGAGCCAGAAUUUAGAGUUAGGUGAAUGGAAUUUUUGAAUGGGUGUUGUGUUUGUGCUGUUAUAUACUAGAGGCUAUAUAAUGGUACUACACUCUCGGUUGUGUGUGUUUAUGGUCGUAUUUUGUUGUAGUUAGAGGCGAGGUAAGAUGGUAGUGUGCCGUCUGUUAUGGUUCAUGUGUUAGUUUUAUACACAGACUAGAGUGUUAUUAAUUGUGUGUGCUCUUGUUUCAUUAAUUUAUACUUGCUUGUUGUAAAUUUUCAGGUUGAGUGGUAAGUACUGUUUUCUGAAAUUGUUUAUUAUGGUAUAUGUGAAUUGAUUGUAAUUUGACAUGGAUUGCUAUCGGAAAGUCAUAUUUGAUUUGUUGCCAUAGAAGGUAAUAUAACGUCAAAAUAGUUAGAUGGGUUUUGAGAAAGUGAUUGAAAGCUGAACCUUGAUGCCUUUUAUUGCAGGUGUACCGAAGGCUUAUACUGUGGAAUAGAGAAGAGAACCUGGCCUUAGUUUGUAGGUGGUGGCUAGCGCGUCUACAGUUGCGGUGAGGAAAUCGUCAACAUGAUAUUUAAAAUGGAAGGUGUAGUUGUUUUUGACUAAAGAGAAGUGGUAGCUGGAAUAAGAAAAUUGAUAAGUGGUUCAUGGGUAAUAUAUUUGUAUUGAGAAUUAGUGUAAGUUUUAUAGGUUGUGUAAUAAAUAAAUUUUUUUCAGGUUGUUGUUGGAGGUGGAAGGAGCCGGUAUUUUUUGAGGUUGACUAGGGGAAUAGUGAUGGGUUGGUGUCGGUUCCCUAGUGCAGCCAAAAGUGCCUAGUUUAUAGUAGACGGGCAAGGGGAGACUUAAGUGAGGUGUAUAAACCUGUGAAAGGGCACUACUUAGUCGAGGAACCCUACCCGUAGCUGACUGACGCCCGCCUCACAAGGGGUCACAGCCUAAGUGGGGGCGCCGGCGGUAGUGCGGUACCGCUCUCGCCUCGCAAGCGAGAUGUCUUGGGUUCGAUUCCCGGGCCGGUGGAAAGUGGGUUGGACACACUUCCUAGACCCCCUCGGUCCCUGUUGACCUAGCAGUAAAGUAGGUACCCUUUGUAAAUCGAAAGUUGCGAAUUCGUAUUUGGGGAAAGUGGUCGGAGCUAGCCGACCAAAUUUUAAAGACUGGAGGGUUGUAUGCCCUUGACAAAAAAUGCUAUGACCCUUUAGGCAAGCAGAAAAUUGGCAUGCUGCCUAGUUGGGCGGUGUAGGCGCUUGUGCCCUUGACCUUGCACUUGAAUAAGGGGGGGGGGGAGGGGGGAUGCCCCUCCGCCCCCGUGUCCAAAAAAAGUGUGGUAAUGAGAAAUCGAAAAAUGGUAGAGUAGAAUAUAGAGUUGUGUUGACUGUAUCGACUAACGAAGAGGAAUUAUGGUCGCCAUGCAGAGGUGGGGGAGAAGGCGAUGUUGGAAAGGAGCCAAGUGUUGUAACCAGUCGCCCUGUGCAGCAUGUGCUAAAAGGAGUUGUUGCAGUCCAGAAGGCGUGAUUGGUGUGUGAUAAUGGAUAGGGACUUUAACGCUCGACUGAAUGAGAGCCCGUAAAGGUGUAAGUAUUGUUUAUUGAAGUUGUAGCUAUACUUUGUUUUAAUGUGAAGAGUAGAGUAUUUGUAACACUGACCUAUUGUUUUUCUGUUUUCAUGUUGUCGUUGGAGGAAUAUGGGUGAAUUGUUGGAGAGGAGUGCGUCGACACUGGAUACGGUGAUGUAAAAUUGCGCAAUGUAUUAUUUGAAGGUUGUGGAGGUGGAAUUGCAGGGAUUGACUAAUUGGACUACUGAUGGGCCGGAUUGGAGUUUUUGGAAUGGUAGGCGGCAGUGAUGGUGGAAGAGGCAGUGGUUACUCGGCGACGGAGUUGGGAGCGAAAGGUGGAGCGAGUGGUGUAGGGUAUGUUCCUCGUGGUAAGAGUAAGGAAGGAGACGAACAAGUAUUGGGCAUCAUUUACCGUGGUGGUUACGAAGUGGACGUGCCGCGAAGAAAGGAAGUGGUACAUCGACGAAUAACCGUGGCGGUUGCGCCAUAGCAAGAGAUAGUGUUUUUGUGGGUGAAUUAUUUGAGCAAUGGGAAAUGAUACUUUACCUACAAGUGUGGCCGUGAAGUGUAUAUUGCUGGUAAUAUAAGAAGAGCACCACGAAGAGUUUCCCGAGUGCGACGAAGCCGACGGGUGCACCGCCUUGUAGGUAUAAUGUAUUUGAUAGAAAAGGCCAUUACGAGUUGACCUCCAUUGUUGUGUUUUCUCGGUUUCAGAUUGAAGGGAUGGGGCGAAGUCGCUUUGGCCAAGUUGCCGUAAGGAGCCGAGAUGAUGUCCCGUGAAUGUCUAGCUGUCGUCUGUGUGACUGGAGCCGAGAUGUCCUUUGAAAGUAUAGCCGUGGUCCCAGUGACUGGGGUGUAUCGAGCCGAGAUGUCCUGUGAACUUCUAUCUGCCGUCCCUGUGACUGGAGCCGAGAUGUCCUUUGAUUGUAUAGCCGUGGUCCCAGUGAGUGGGGUGUAUUGAGCCGAGAUGUCCUGUGAACUUCUAUCUGCCGUCCCUGUGACUGGAGCCGAGAUGUCCUUUGAUUGUAUAGCUGUGGUCCCAGUGAGUGGGGUGUAUUGAGCCGAGAUGUCCUGUGAACUUCUAUCUGCCGUCCCUGUGACUGGAGCCGAGAAGAUGUCCUGUGAACGUAUAGCCGUCGUCCCAGUGAGUGAGGUGUGUGGAGCCAAGAAGAUGAUGUCCUGUGAAGGGAUAGCUGUUGUUCCUGUGACUGGAGCUGAGAAGAUGUCCUGUGAAUUUAUAGCUGCUGUACUUGUGACCGGGGUGUAUGGAGCUGAGGCGAAGAUGUCCUGUGAAGAUGAUGUUUGAAGCAGAAAUUGAUGUUUGAUGUACUGUACUGUAUUAUAUUGCUUAGUGUAUAGAAUAUAUGUAUUUGAGUUGAA